AUUAUUGGGCGUAAAGAGCUCGUAGGCGGUUUGUCGCGUCUGCCGUGAAAGUCCGGGGCUCAACUCCGGAUCUGCGGUGGGUACGGGCAGACUAGAGUGAUGUAGGGGAGACUGGAAUUCCUGGUGUAGCGGUGAAAUGCGCAGAUAUCAGGAGGAACACCGAUGGCGAAGGCAGGUCUCUGGGCAUUAACUGACGCUGAGGAGCGAAAGCAUGGGGAGCGAACAGGAUUAGAUACCCUGGUAGUCCAUGCCGUAAACGUUGGGCACUAGGUGUGGGGGACAUUCCACGUUUUCCGCGCCGUAGCUAACGCAUUAAGUGCCCCGCCUGGGGAGUACGGCCGCAAGGCUAAAACUCAAAGGAAUUGACGGGGGCCCGCACAAGCGGCGGAGCAUGCGGAUUAAUUCGAUGCAACGCGAAGAACCUUACCAAGGCUUGACAUGGGCCGGAUCGCCGCAGAAAUGUGGUUUCCCCUUUGGGGCCGGUUCACAGGUGGUGCAUGGUUGUCGUCAGCUCGUGUCGUGAGAUGUUGGGUUAAGUCCCGCAACGAGCGCAACCCUCGUUCCAUGUUGCCAGCGCGUAAUGGCGGGGACUCAUGGGAGACUGCCGGGGUCAACUCGGAGGAAGGUGGGGACGACGUCAAAUCAUCAUGCCCCUUAUGUCUUGGGCUUCACGCAUGCUACAAUGGCCGGUACAAAGGGUUGCGAUACUGUGAGGUGGAGCUAAUCCCAAAAAGCCGGUCUCAGUUCGGAUUGGGGUCUGCAACUCGACCCCAUGAAGUCGGAGUCGCUAGUAAUCGCAGAUCAGCAACGCUGCGGUGAAUACGUUCCCGGGCCUUGUACACACCGCCCGUCAAGUCACGAAAGUUGGUAACACCCGAAGCCGGUGGCCUAACCCCUUGUGGGAGGGAGCUGUCGAAGU
rnacentral:rRNA from 1 species